AGUGAACGCUGGCGGUAGGCCUAACACAUGCAAGUCGAACGGCAGCACAGUAAGAGCUUGCUCUUACGGGUGGCGAGUGGCGGACGGGUGAGGAAUACAUCGGAAUCUACUUUUUCGUGGGGGAUAACGUAGGGAAACUUACGCUAAUACCGCAUACGACCUACGGGUGAAAGCAGGGGAUCUUCGGACCUUGCGCGAUUGAAUGAGCCGAUGUCGGAUUAGCUAGUUGGCGGGGUAAAGGCCCACCAAGGCGACGAUCCGUAGCUGGUCUGAGAGGAUGAUCAGCCACACUGGAACUGAGACACGGUCCAGACUCCUACGGGAGGCAGCAGUGGGGAAUAUUGGACAAAGGGCGCAAGCCUGAUCCAGCCAUACCGCGUGGGUGAAGAAGGCCUUCGGGUUGUAAAGCCCUUUUGUUGGGAAUGAAAAGCAGCAGGUUAAUACCCCGCUGUUCUGACGGUACCCAAAGAAUAAGCACCGGCUAACUUCGUG
rnacentral:rRNA from 1 species